rnacentral:rRNA from 1 species
AGGAUAAACGCUGGCGGCGUGCCUAACACAUGCAAGUCGAACGUCCUACGCAAGUAGGGAGUGGCGGACGGGUGAGUAACACGUGGGCAAUCUACCUUUCGGUGAGGAAUACCGGCGAGAAAUCGCCGACAAUACCGCAUACGCUUCGCAAGAAGCAAAGUCGCAAGACGCCGGAGGAGGAGCCUGCGCCCGAUUAGCUCGUUGAUGGAGUAAUGGUCUACCAAGGCGACGAUCGGUAGCUGGUCUGAGAGGAUGAUCAGCCACACUGGGAUUGAGAACGGCCCAGACUCCUACGGGGGCAGCAGUGAGGAAUUUUCGUCAAUGGGGGAAACCCUGAACGAGCAACGCCGCGUGCAGGAAGACACUUUUCGGAGCGUAAACUGCUUUUCUCGGGGACGAGUAAGGACGGUACCCGAGGAAUCAGCCCCGGCUAACUACGUGCCAGCAGCCGC